GAUGAACGCUGGCGGCGUGCCUAAUACAUGCAAGUCGAGCGAACGGACGAGAAGCUUGCUUCUCUAAUGUUAGCGGCGGACGGGUGAGUAACACGUGGAUAACCUACCUAUAAGACUGGGAUAACUUCGGGAAACCGGAGCUAAUACCGGAUAAUAUUUUGAACCGCAUGGUUCAAAAGUAAAAGACGGUCUUGCUGUCACUUAUAGAUGGAUCCGCGCUGCAUUAGCUAGUUGGUAAGGUAACGGCUUACCAAGGCAACGAUGCAUAGCCGACCUGAGAGGGUGAUCGGCCACACUGGAACUGAGACACGGUCCAGACUCCUACGGGAGGCAGCAGUAGGGAAUCUUCCGCAAUGGGCGAAAGCCUGACGGAGCAACGCCGCGUGAGUGAUGAAGGUCUUCGGAUCGUAAAACGCUGUUAUUAGGGAAGAACAUAUGUGUAAGUAACUGUGCACAUCUUGACGGUACCUAAUCAGAAAGCCACGGCUAACUACGU
rnacentral:rRNA from 1 species